rnacentral:lncRNA from 13 species
AUGACCACUCUAUGGAAAUAUGAGACUCAGGAGCAUGACGGUGUUCCCCGUUUUGCUCUACGACCCCCACAAGUGUCAAGGGAAGCGUCUGAAGGUGUUGGUCAGGGGUUCACCAUGUCAACCAAGACGCUGAUGACACGGGUCCAGGAAGAGCAGUCCCACCAGAUGUCCCACAGCAUGGCGCCGGCCUCGCAGAUCCAGAAGAAAACCUUCACCUCCAGAUAAAGGCACCCUGGUACACACCCCCUGCUUCCUCAUCAUGACAUAGAUCAUGUUUAUCCAAUGCUUAUUAUAAAAAACAUUGAUAUAAUAAAUAAAGAAUUUCCAGAAGAGAUCUAGUUGAAUAUGGUGUUCUGUAUAUACAGUAUAUAUACAAAAGUAUGUUGAAAUUCAAAUUAGUGGAUUGACUAUUUCAGCCACACCCGUUGCUGACAGGUGUAUAAAAUCGAGCACACAGCCAUGCAAUCUCCAUAGACAAACAUUGACAGUAGAAUGGCCUUCCUGAAGAGCUCAGUGACUUUCAACGAGGUACCGUCACAGGAUGCCACCUUUCCAACAAGUCAGUCAAAUUUCUGCCCUGCUAGAGCUCCCCGAUCAACUGUAAGUGCUGUUAUUGUGAAGUGGAAACGUCUAGGAGCAACAACGGCUCAGUCGCGAUGUGGUAGACCACACAAGCUCACAGAAUGGGACCGCUGAGUGCUGAAGCGCGUAAUGCGUAAAAAUCAUCUGUCCUCAGUUUUCCAUGGCCAAGCAGCCACACGCAAGCCUAAGAUCGCCUAGCACUUUGCCAAGCGUUGGCUGGAAUGGUGUAAAGCUCUCCGCCAUUGGACUCUGAAGCAGUGGAAACACUUUCUCUGGAGUAAUGAAUCAUGCUUCAUCAUCUGGCAGUCCGACUGACAAAUCUGGGUUUGGAGAACACUAAUGCAUAGUGCCAACUGUAAAGUGGGCUGGAGGAGGAAUGAUGGUCCGGGACUGUGAAGACAAAUCUUAGCGCUACAGCAUACAAGCCUUCCCAGACAAGUGGAGGCUGUUAUAGCAGCAAAGGGGGACCAACUCCCUGAUCUUGGAAUGAGAUGUACGAUGGCAAUGUAGUGUAUCAUACACUUGCUUUAUGGAAACAUGUCCUGCAUUGGAGAAAAGUAGAUGUUGACCGUCCAAGUAUUAUGUUUUGAUCAUGUUCAUCCAGUGGAUGCAAAUACACUUCUAAAGACCCAGUUUCCUUAGCACAAUAUAUCCUGUAAUUUAUUCAUCCACUUCAUUGAAAACUGCUUGCAUGGGAGUAAAGUACAGUCAAUGUUGACCAUCCAAGUAUUACUGUCUAUUACCGGAUAUGUGCAUAGCUAGACAGAUGAAAAGUGCCCUGUAUAUAAUGGAGCCCUGGUUUGUUGUGGGUUGUGGGAUGACAUUAGAGCUUUUAAACAAGGACAUGAGCGGGUGGCAGUUAUUCUGAGCUCAUUGAGACAGCAGCGCAGUGACGCAGUGUGUGUCCGGAGUGUGUGAGUGUUUGCUUAAAGGCAGUAUUAGAGCUACACUUACGUGCAUAAACACGUGGUGCACACAAGUCAAUGUGGAUAAAGUUGCCUAUAGAUUUUAGAUUACCCUCGUACACUGUAUGCAGACUUGCACAUUCACAUACACACGUCAUUGAGACCCUCUCCAGAAAGAGAGACACGUUGGCGCUUUUAUUGAGAUACCUCCGGAUGAGCAGUCAACCUUGUCUGUCUCUCCCUGCCAAAGUCAGCCUUCAAUCCCCAGAACAGCCCUGAUUCACCACAGAGCUCACCCAUGCUCAUAUAAGCAUACACCAACCGACAUUGACUCAACGACUGCCCACACACUCCGCACACAAAUACUGCACACACAUGUACAGACAGAUGACUCACAUAUAAACACACACACACACAUAUACAAACACACCAUACCAUACAGAUACCAUAUAUGUACCAUACACCAUACCAUUAUGUGUAUGGCACCGGAGGAGAUGGCUGCCGUCUUACGGGCUCUGAACCAAUUGUGCUAUUGUGUGUGUUUUUUUCACGUUAUUCAAAGCUUAUUUUGUACAUGCUGUUUCUGCCACCGUCUCUUAUGAUCUAAAAGAGCUUCUGGAUGUCGGGGAGCCUUGUAAGGAUCCAACAGCGAGUGGGUAAUCCGCCUCUACCAUCAGUCCUAUUAAUGUGCAAUCAUUGGAUAAUAAACUGGAUGAGUCCCUACCAACGGGACAUUAAAAACUGUAAUAUCUUAUGUUUCACAGAGUCGGGGCUGAACGACGACAUGGAUAACAUAUAGCUGGCUUAGUUUUCCAUGCAUCGUCAAGAUGGAACAGCUGCCUCCGGUAAAACAAGGGGUGGCAGUCUGUGUCAAUUAGUAAACGGCAGUUGGUGCACAAAAUCUAAUAAUGAGGAAGUCUCAAGGUUUUGCUCGCCUGAGGUAGAGUAUCUCAUGAUAAGCUGUAGACCACACUAUUUACCACCAACAACCGAUGCUGGCACUAAGACUCAACGAGCUGCAUAAGCCAUAAGCAAACAAGAAAAUGCUCAUCCAGAGGCGUCACGCU